CUUUAUAAAUUUAAUUGUUUUAAAUUUUAUUUUAAGUAAAAAUUCUUAAAAAUUUAUAAAAGACGAGAAGACCCUAUAGAAUUUUAUAAAAUUAAUUUGUUAUAGUUAUUUUGUUUUUAAAUUUAUAUAUUUUUUGAUUUUAUUUUAUUGGGGAUAUAUAAAAAUUUAUUUAAAUUUUUAAUUUUAAAUUUAUUUAGUUAAUAAAUUUUAUUAAUUAAUAUUAUUAUGUAUAAAUUAAAUUACCUUAGGGAUAACAGCGUAAUAUUUUUUAUAAGUUCAUAUUGGUAAAAAUGU
rnacentral:rRNA from 1 species